AUGAACGCUGGCGGCGUGCCUAAUACAUGCAAGUCGAGCGAACGGACGAGAAGCUUGCUUCUCUGAUGUUAGCGGCGGACGGGUGAGUAACACGUGGAUAACCUACCUAUAAGACUGGGAUAACUUCGGGAAACCGGAGCUAAUACCGGAUAAUAUUUUGAACCGCAUGUUUAAAAGUGGAAGACGGGCUUUCCGUGCCUUAUAGAUGGAACCGCGCUGCAUUAGCUAGUUGGUAAGGUAACGGCUUACCAAGGCAACGAUGCAUAGCCGACCUGAGAGGGUGAUCGGCCACACUGGAACUGAGACACGGUCCAGACUCCUACGGGAGGCAGCAGUAGGGAAUCUUCCGCAAUGGGCGAAAGCCUGACGGAGCAACGCCGCGUGAGUGAUGAAGGUCUUCGGAUCGUAAAACUCUGUUAUUAGGGAAGAACAUAUGUGUAAGUAACUGUGCACAUCUUGACGGUACCUAAUCAGAAAGCCACGGCUAACUACGUG
rnacentral:rRNA from 1 species